rnacentral:rRNA from 1 species
UGGGGAAUUUUGGACAAUGGGGGAAACCCUGAUCCAGCCAUCCCGCGUGUGCGAUGAAGGCCUUCGGGUUGUAAAGCACUUUUGGCAGGAAAGAAACGUCAUGGGUUAAUACCCCGUGAAACUGACGGUACCUGCAGAAUAAGCACCGGCUAACUACGUGCCAGCAGCCGCGGUAAUACGUAGGGUGCAAGCGUUAAUCGGAACUACUGGGCGUAAAGCGUGCGCAGGCGGUUCGGAAAGAAAGAUGUGAAAUCCCAGAGCUCAACUUUGGAACUGCAUUUUUAACUACCGGGCUAGAGUGUGUCAGAGGGAGGUGGAAUUCCGCGUGUAGCAGUGAAAUGCGUAGAUAUGCGGAGGAACACCGAUGGCGAAGGCAGCCUCCUGGGAUAACACUGACGCUCAUGCACGAAAGCGUGGGGAGCAAACAGG